rnacentral:rRNA from 1 species
CCCUUAGACGUUCGGGGCCGCACGCGCGCUACACUGAAGGAAUCAGCACGUCUUUCUCCUUGUCCGAAAGGACUGGGUAACCCGCUGAACCUCCUUCGUGCUAGGGAUUGGGGCAUGUAAUUCUUCCCCAUGAACGAGGAAUUCCCAGUAAGCGCGAGUCAUAAGCUCGCGUUGAUUACGUCCCUGCCCUUUGUACACACCGCCCGUCGCUACUACCGAUUGGAUGGUUUAGUGAGAUCCUCGGAUUGGUCCCGGAGCGGCCUCUGGUCGUGCCGGAGUGCCGAAAAGAAUGUCGAACUUGAUCAUCUAGAGGAUGUAAAAGUCGUAACA